rnacentral:rRNA from 1 species
AGUGAACGCUGGCGGUAGGCCUAACACAUGCAAGUCGAACGGCAGCACAGUAAGAGCUUGCUCUUACGGGUGGCGAGUGGCGGACGGGUGAGGAAUACAUCGGAAUCUACUUUUUCGUGGGGGAUAACGUAGGGAAACUUACGCUAAUACCGCAUACGACCUACGGGUGAAAGCAGGGGAUCUUCGGACCUUGCGCGAUUCAAUGAGCCGAUGUCGGAUUAGCUAGUUGGCGGGGUAAAGGCCCACCAAGGCGACGAUCCGUAGCUGGUCUGAGAGGAUGAUCAGCCACACUGGAACUGAGACACGGUCCAGACUCCUACGGGAGGCAGCAGUGGGGAAUAUUGGACAAUGGGCGCAAGCCUGAUCCAGCCAUACCGCGUGGGUGAAGAAGGCCUUCGGGUUGUAAAGCCCUUUUGUUGGGAAAGAAAAGCAGCAGGUUAAUACCCCGCUGUUCUGACGGUACCCAAAGAAUAAGCACCGGCUAACUUCGU